AUGAAUGGAUUGUGGAGAAAGAAGAUCCCCUCCUCCCCCUUGAUCUUUGUUGGCUUCAAGAUAAUGAAUUAUUCAAUGUUGAUGCCAUUAGAGUUGUGUCAUCCAACUCCUAAGAGACGCAAACAUCAUCGGAUCAUAUGGUUUCUUCACAUUCCUACAAAAGGAAACAUAAUGAAGUACCAAGUACAAGUGGAGGCAAAGGCAAAGAGAAGGAAUUGAAUUUGACACCAAUUGAUGAAAAUGAAGAUUUAGAUGAAAUGGGGAUACAUGAUAGUGGACAUUUUCCUACUAUUGAUACAUUGGAUGAGGAUGAUGAUGACCUUGGAGAGGAGGAUUUAAGUUGAAACAAUUUACUCUAGUUGUUAUUUCAUGACUUAGUUAUGGAUUUUUUGUAAAAGUUUAGAACUAUUAUUAUGGUUGACUCUAUUUUCUAUUUCAUGACUUAGUUAUGGCUUUUUGUUAAA